AAUUGCCAUCAUUCAGUUGGGCACUUUAGAGAGACUGCCGGUGUUAAGCGGAGGAAGGUGGGGAUGACGUCAAGUCCUCAUGGCCUUUAUGCUAGGGCUACACACGUGCUACAAUGGGUGGUACAAAGAGCAGCUAACUCGCGAGAGUAUGCAAAUCUCAAAAAGCCAUCCUCAGUUCGGAUUGGAGUCUGCAACUCGACUCCAUGAAGUUGGAAUCGCUAGUAAUCGCGGAUCAGCAUGCCGCGGUGAAUACGUUCCCGGGCCUU
rnacentral:rRNA from 1 species